GACGAACGCUGGCGGCGUGCUUAACACAUGCAAGUCGAACGAAGUGGCGAACGGGUGAGUAAUACGUGGGUAACCUGGCCUCAUUUUUGGGAUAAGCCUUAGAAACGGUGUCUAAUACCGAAUAACGGGGGAGGGGCCCGCGGCCUAUCAGCUUGUUGGUGGGGUGAUGGCCUACCAAGGCGGUGACGGGUAGCCGGCCUGGGAGGGGGCCCGGCACCUUAGGGACUGAGAAACGGCCCAGACGCCUACGGGAUGCAGAAUUGGGGGAUAUUGCACAAUGUGUGACAGACUGAUGCAGCGACGCCGCGUGGGGGAUGAAGGCUUUCGGGUUGUAAACCUCUUUCGCAACCGAACGGGUAGGUGGAGAAGAAGCGCCGGCUAACUACGUGCCAGCAGCCGCGGUAAUUC
rnacentral:rRNA from 1 species